UACGGGGGGAGCAAGCGUUGUGCGGAUUUACUGGGCGUAAAGGGCGCGUAGGCGGUCGUGACAAGUCACUUGGGAAAUCUCCGGGCUUAACUCGGAACGGUCAAGUGAUACUGUCGGACUAGAGUACAGAAGGGGCAACUGGAAUUCCCGGUGUAGAGGUGAAAUUCGUAGAUAUCAGGAGGAACACCGGUGGCGAAGGCGGUUCUCUGGGCAUUACCUGACGCUGAGGAGCGAAAGUGUGGGGAGCGAACAGG
rnacentral:rRNA from 1 species